CCUACGGGUGGCAGCAGUAGGGAAUAUUGCGCAAUGGACGGAAGUCUGACGCAGCGACGCCGCGUGAGCGAUGAAGGCCUUCGGGUUGUAAACUUCUUUGACCAGGGACGAAUAAAUGACGGUACCUGGAGAACAAGCCACGGCUAACUACGUGCCAGCAGCCGCGGUAAUACGUAGGUGGCGAGCGUUGUCCGGAAUUACUGGGUGUAAAGGGCGUGUAGGCGGGUUCUUAAGUCAGAUGUGAAAUCCCGGGGCUCAACUCCGGAGCUGCAUCUGAAACUGGGAAUCUUGAGUGCUGGAGGGGAAAGUGGAAUUCCUAGUGUAGCGGUGAAAUGCGUAGAGAUUAGGAGGAACACCAGUGGCGAAGGCGGCUUUCUGGACAGCAACUGACGCUGAGGCGCGAAAGCGUGGGGAGCAAACAGGAUUAGAUACCUGAGUAGUC
rnacentral:rRNA from 1 species